UAAUACGUAGGGAGCAAGCGUUGUCCGGAAUUACUGGGCGUAAAGGGCGCGUAGGCGGGAUAUUAAGUCAGGUGUGAAAACUCUGGGCUCAACUCAGAGAUUGCACUUGAAACUGGUAUUCUUGAGGACAGGAGAGGAAAGUGGAAUUCCUAGUGUAGCGGUGAAAUGCGUAGAUAUUAGGAGGAACACCAGUGGCGAAGGCGACUUUCUGGACUGUAACUGACGCUGAGGCGCGAAAGCGUGGGGAGUGAACGGGAUUAGAUACCCCGGUAAUCCACGCUGUAAACGAUGGGUACUAGGUGUAGGAGGUAUCGACCCCUUCUGUGCCGGAGUUAACGCAAUAAGUACCCCGCCUGGGGAGUACGGCCGCAAGGUUG
rnacentral:rRNA from 1 species